AGGACUGGAGAGGAGACUGGAAUUCACGGUGUAGCAGUGAAAUGCGUAGAUAUCGUGAGGAAGACCGGUGGCGAAGGCGAGUCUCUGGACAGUUCCUGACGCUGAGGCACGAAGGCCAGGGUAGCGAACGGGAUUAGAUACCCCGGUAGUCCUGGCAGUAAACGGUGCACGUUUGGUGUGGGAGGAUUCGACCCCUUCCGUGCCGGAGCUAACGCGUUAAACGUGCCGCCUGGGGAGUACGGUCGCAAGAUUAAAACUCAAAGAAAUUGACGGGGGCCCGCACAAGCGGUGGAGUAUGUGGCUUAAUUCGAUGCAACGCGAAGAACCUUACCUGGGUUUGACAUGCAUCUCUAAUCGGGUGAAAGCCCGUGACUGUAGCAAUACAGAAUUUGCACAGGUGCUGCAUGGCUGUCGUCAGCUCGUGUCGUGAGAUGUUGGGUUAAGUCCCGCAACGAGCGCAACCCUUGCGAACUGUUGCCAACCCCGACUUUGUCGGGGCGCACUCUGUUCGGACUGCCCUGUGAAACGGGGAGGAAGGUGGGGAUGACGUCAAGUCAGUAUGGCCCUUAUGCCCAGGGCUGCACACGUACUACAAUGCCCAGUACAAUGCGAACCGAAGCCGCGAGGUGGAGGAAAUCACCAAAACUGGGCCCAGUUCGGAUUGGAGUCUGCAACUCGACUCCAUGAAGGAGGAAUCGCUAGUAAUGGCGCAUCAGCUACGGCGCCGUGAAUACGUUCCCGGGCCUUGUACACACCGCCCGUCACAUCAUGGGAGUCACUUGUACCCGAAGCACGCGUGCUAACCGCAAGGAGGCAACGUUCGAAGGUAUGGGUGGUAACUGGGAUGAAGUCGUAACAAGGUAGCCGUAGGGGAACCUGCGGCUGGAUCACCU
rnacentral:rRNA from 1 species